UCCCCUCCCUCCUCCCCUCCCUCCCUGCUUUCCUCCCUCUUUCUUUCUUUUGACACAGGUUCUCAGGUUUCUAAAGGCUGUCUUUAAACUUGCCAAGUUUCUGAGGAUGAUCUUGAACACUGGAUCCUGCUGCCAACACCUCUCCAGUGCUGGGUGACAGGCAUGCACCACCACGCCUGGGUUGUGCUGAAGGAGGUUCUGUAAACGCCGGGUAUUUAGAGGGUCUGAGGAGAUAAUCCAUAAAACCCGAGGACUUGAGUUCCAGAACCCACGUAAAAAGGUGGUGUGGUGGCACACAUUUGAACGUGGAGACAGAAGGAUCCCGAGGUUCACUGGCCAGCCUGUCUUGUCUAACUGGGGAGGAGACAAAGCCUCAUUAGCAUGAAGCAGCGAAGCAGCAAAGAGAGGGUUAGAUGGCAGGAGCGGCUGCGCCUGCAGCCAAGCAGGGUGCAGUGGCUACCCCAGCCCUGAGACUCAGAGCGGCCAGAGGCAGCAUAUGGCGACCUGGCUGAACUUCAGUAGAGGAGGGGACCUGACAGCAGCUGUGAGCACCGGGGAUUGCCACUGCCUCCAUUCCGUGACCCCGCGUCAAGGGGCAGGUCUGCCCUUUCACCUCACAGCUGGAGACUUUCCGCUCUCAAACCAUGACGUCAGCAGUGGCGGUGACAGCCCCUCCCAGCGCUGCUGAGCAACCGUGUAAUUAAGGCAGCGCGUGCGUCUCUGCUCGGAAAGGGGCUGCUCGGUGUUAACAUGGUGGGAAGCAAACUUUGCUUGGAUUGGUUCCUGGCUCUGAGGAAAUUAAAAAGAAAACACAAAGGAUGGAAGAGAACACCUCCAAAUAGAGACUUGGCCUCGGCUGGGAUGAUGUCACUGGAAGAAAUGUGAGCAGGAAGUCCCAUGAAUGGAGGAAUUCCAGGGACAUGUGCGGCCACCGAGCACAGGCACAGAGGCUUGAGCAAGAGCUAUAAAAGCAAAGGACAGCAACCAACAUCAGAGGUUUAUAGGACACCUGAAAACACCUUGCAUCACAGUGGUACUUCAAGAGGCACUGCCACAGUGAACAAAGUUUCACUGUGCCUUAGAGAGCUAACCCCUUAGCUCCUGAGCUUGGAAGCUAAGCUCAUGUCUGAGCUCGGCCUGGUUAAUACUUGUAUGGGAGACAGCUAAUCCAAACUUACUGUUGGGCCCAACGACUUCCAGAAGAACAGAAUGGCUUCAUUCACAAUAGGCUCAACUUGACCCACAGCAAUGCCCAUCAACCGGAGAGAGAGUAAACACAUUGGAAGACAAGACUGCCAAUUGUAACAAAAAGAAAAGGCGCUGACGAAAUCAGUGUGGACAGAUCCCAAGAGUAUUAUGCUAAAGGAAGAGGCCAGACACAAUAUAUCGUUUCACUUGCAUGCAAUUCUAGAACUUCACAACUAAAGUGACAAUGGAUUGUGGUUUCCACCGGCUAGGAAGAAGGGCAGGAGGGGAUUGUGUUUUCUCAGGUGACAGUCAUGGUGGCGAUGAGGUUCCCUCCACUUGUCAAAACUCAUCAAAACGGUCCUCUUAAAGCCGCUAACUUUCACCGUCUGCAAUUAAAUUCCCAUAAAGCUUAGUUUUUAAACAGCUUUAUGUCACUAACACUAAUGGCAAAUCACUGCUCUCUGCCAAGAUAGCAGGCAACUGUAAAAACAAAUACAUAUAUUUUAGAAGGCUCAGAAAAGAAAACAGACAGCCCAGCUGUCGUGCGUGCCCGUGCCCCUGUCUGUCUUUGUAAGCUCUGAGUUUCCAGCUGGGGGUCACAUCUGCAGAGCCUCCCCACUGCGCCGCCAGGGACCACCCGAGCUGGCCUGAGGACCACAAGGAGGAAGACAUUUUGAGUCGAUGCGGCAUCAGUGUGGUGUGGGAAAGCUGUGGCAAUUACUCUGUGACCAUGCUAACCUAUGUUAGCUGACAACCAGGGCCCGUGCUUAGCGAGAUAGGACUUCAUCCGUGGUCCGUGCAAAGGCCAGUGAGUGCCGUGUGUCUCCUGGACAUUGCACAGACUGGUCCCCUGGCUGGGACUGCUUUUCUAAAGACUUUUUGCCUAGCCAAUGCCUUCUUACUCUUCGGGGUCUGUCGAACCCCCAACAUUUGUGGUGUAGCUGCCCUUGAUUCAGUAGCCCUUGGACUUAGUGCCUGUUCAUACUUUUUAAAGCAUUUAAACAAGUAGUUUGGUGGCUAAGAGAACUUCUUGCAUGCAUUUGUUUCCCUCUCUCUGAGUGACCGGAGGCCCCAGCAGGCUAACGGCAGGCAGGUCUAG